rnacentral:misc_RNA from 1 species
AACUUUUGACAAUGGAUCACUUGGCUCUCGCAUCGAUGAAGAACGCAGCGAAAUGCGAUAAGUAAUGUGAAUUGUAGAUUUUCAGUGAAUCAUCGAAUCUUUGAACGCACCUUGCGCCCCUUGGUAUUCCGAGGGGCAUGCCUGUUUGAGUGUCAUUGAAAUAUCAACCUUGGGUGGAUUUGCUUCCUCUGCGAUGGUUGGACUUUGGAGAGUGCUGUCGUCAGGUCGGCUCUUCUUAAAUGCAUCAGCGGUAAACUUUGACCUGUCGACGUCAGCGUGAUAAUCACGUUGCGCUGUCGACCGAUGUGUCAUCAUAAGGACCCGCUUCUAAUGGUCUUCGGACAGGACAUCAAAUUUGACCUCAAAUCAGGUAGGACUACCCGCUGAACUUAAGCAUAUCAAUAAGCGGAGGCU